GAGUUUGAUCAUGGCUCAGGAUGAACGCUGGCGGCGUGCCUAAUACAUGCAAGUCGAACGAACAGAUAAGGAGCUUGCUCCUUUGACGUUAGCGGCGGACGGGUGAGUAACACGUGGGUAACCUACCUAUAAGACUGGAAUAACUCCGGGAAACCGGGGCUGAUGCCGGAUAACAUGUUGAACCGCAUGGUUCUACAGUGAAAGACGGUCUUGCUGUCACUUAUAGAUGGACCCGCGCCGUAUUAGCUAGUUGGUGGGUAACGGCCUACCAAGGCGACGAUACGUAGCCGACCUGAGAGGGUGAUCGGCCACACUGGAACUGAGACACGGUCCAGACUCCUACGGGAGGCAGCAGUAGGGAAUCUUCCGCAAUGGGCGAAAGCCUGACGGAGCAACGCCGCGUGAGUGAUGAAGGUCUUCGGAUCGUAAGCUCUGUUGUUAGGGAAGAAC
rnacentral:rRNA from 1 species